ensembl:lncRNA
GUGCAACCACCUUGAUUCUACAAGAUGGUGAUGGAAAUUUUUUUAAUCAAGUGUCAGUCUAAAGGAGGCCAACAUUCAUUUUUUUCCUUGCUGCCAAAGCUGUCUGGUGACACAGCAUCACUGCAGCAGGACUUCAACACAGAAGCCGGACUGGAAUAUUUCUUGGAAAGCGGACUGCGCUAGCAAAUCAGACUGCUUCAAAUGCAAAGCAGCAGAUUACCCACCUGUGUGGCUGUUCACGCUCACUGAUCAGACACAACAUUAAAACCACAAACAGACCAAGCAGAUGCCAAAGGCCCCACCCUGCAUCCCACAGGACCCAAAAGAUCUGCUGCCAACGUCUCAAAUCCAGACACCUCUGGAUGUCCCGUGUCCAUGCCCCGACAGGUUGGAGCUGUUUUGAUGGGACAAACCAGACCAAGACGAUAUUCGGCAGGUGGUUUUAAAAUGUUAUGGCUAAUUGGUGUGUGUUUUCCAUUUCCACAAGCUGUCCUCCUCGUGCCCUGAAGGACUACCCAAUAAACACAAACAUAACCUCUCAAGCAGGUGAACCAGCUCGUCUCAAAUGCUUAGACGGAGAGUAAGUUCAGAGUAUUGAAUAAGAUGUCUGGAU